rnacentral:rRNA from 1 species
UACGUAGGGUGCAAGCGUUACUCGGAAUUACUGGGCGUAAAGCGUGCGCAGGCGGUUCGCUGUGUCCUGUGUGAAAGCCCCGGGCUUAACCUGGGAAUGGCAUGGGAAACUGGCGGGCUGGAGUGUGGCAGAGGGGGGUGGAAUUCCGCGUGUAGCAGUGAAAUGCGUAGAGAUGCGGAGGAACACCGAUGGCGAAGGCAGCCCCCUGGGCUAACACUGACGCUCAGGCACGAAAGCGUGGGGAGCAAACAGG